GGUGAUGUUAUUUGAAGUACUCCAACUUGACUAAAGUGUAUCCAAGUAGAUACAAGUAGUUAAAACUAUGUGUCAUAGGCAUACACUUGAGUUAAUUUUUCUUACAGUUUUGUCAACUAUAAGGUGGCAUUAAUUCUGGCCACUCUUUCUGUAUUAGUUUUGUUUCAGUUUUAACUUAGGCAACACUACUCGCUUUAAAAUUAUAUGCAUCUGAAUCUUUUGAUGGAUGUUUAUUGUUAAAUGAAACCACACAAUCACUUCACAUCUUUUGUAUAAUAAAACAUUUAAUAUAUAACGCAGUCCAUAUUGCUUGUUGACCAUAUGGUAGUGGACUGUGACUCAUAAAUUCAUUUAUAAAAUAUUUGACCACAGAAUAAUGUCAAUUUAAGGAAUCUUGUUGGGUAACGCAAUAGCUCAGUCAGUAGAGCAUGAGACUCCUAACUGCAGGAGCGUGGCCUGGAGCCCCAUGUUAGGCAAAAGAUUCCUGUAUUGCGUGGGUUGGACCAGGUGACCCUCGUGGUCCUUUCCAACUUUACAAUCCUAUGAACACACAGUUACAUUGUCAGUGCCAGCUAUUAAAUGUGAAGUAACUUGCUAGAACAGAGAGAAAUAGUAUUGCACUACAUUGCAAGUGCUGUUUUUAGGUUUCAAGCUGCUUUUAGGUUUUUGAGAGAUCAUACAUUUUGGGCAUUUCCUAUUCUGAAGUUUCCUAGUCUGUUUUGGUCAACUUAACCAUUUGUUGUCCUGGGAAGCAUACUUAAGAGAGCCAUGCUGAAGUGGGGGGUGGGACGGGAUAACGACACUCAACAUAGAAUCUCACUUCCAUUCUUUUUGGCCUACUGAGUGCGCUGCCAACUUAAUAGAUUGGAAUGUCUCACUGCACUAUUUCCAUACCUUGUUCAGAUAACAGGUAUUUGCAGUGGAGCAUUCUUGCCAGUGUCUGGCAAGACUAAAUAAGUUGUUCCCUUCCUUAAUUAUGUUCCCUUCCUUAAUUAAAAAUAAAUGUGAAAGCACAAAAACGCUGUCACUAAAAUGGCAGUUUUGAAUCGCUGAUGUAUGCCUGGCAAGCACUGUUUUCAAAAUGUCACACCUCUACUUCACACAACAGUUGCUAAAAGUUAGGAGUCGAAGUUCAGUAUAAAUUUUACCGUUGUGUUUAAUUUUAAGAAAAAUCAACCCAGCUAGCAUAAAAUAUUUUAUAAUCCUUUAGGCAUUCAGUCAGCAUUUGAAGGUUCAGUUAAAUUUUGCUUUCUCGGACUGUUAGUAAUAAUACAGGGCUUUCCAGUUCAUUUUCACUGAUACCCUUGAAAGAACGCUACAUUUUAUUUUUUUGCAACUUGCACUGUAACCCUUUAACAUUUGAACUGGUUCAACAAGUAUAUUUCAGAGUACAGUUUGACGGACUACUUAGGAGUUAAUAGUUGCUAUAAAAAAGUGCAAGAAUUUUGGUUUGUGUUUCAAAAUUUAAAACUAAAUUAUGAAUUAAGCUUUUUGGUUUAAUAUAAUUUGUGUUUUUGUUGACUAGCAGCAGAAUUUCAGCAUUUGCUACUUACUGGUAGAGAAGAAAAAAAUCCCACAGCACUGCCAGUACAGGUUAGUUUAAUCUUCCUGCAGACACCAGGAGAACCAGAAAGUGAGGGAACGUAUUUCUGAUCUGGCAACUUGGUAAGUAUCUAGCCUCUUCAAUGUUUUUUGUUGGUGAUUAAAAAAAAUAUUUCAUUCAUGUAGCAUUUCCCUGAUGAAUGGUAUAAAGAUGGGGACAGACAACUUGCUUAUAUGCUUUUGAUUAAAAUUAUACAAAUAGCAUUAUCGGAUGUACACUUAAGUAAAGCUGUGUUAUCUUUCAUUCAUUAAACUUUGAACCAGAGUUAA